GGGGUUGUGGCUUAGUGGUAGAGUGCUUGCUUAGCAUGUGCAAGGCCUUGAGUUUGAUCCUCAGCACCACA
rnacentral:tRNA from 1 species